AGAGUUGUGGUAGCUGAGCAGUCCUUUUUAGGCCUGGCUAUGCAAGCUGUUGCUAGGUAACUGUUGGGCAGAGCCCAGUGGAAUUGGGUGUAAGCCAAUACUGAGAUUGACACAUAAAAAACUUUUUGGAAUUUCUUAACUUAGCAGAAUGCUACCUUUGACCAGCACAAAGCCCAGGAAUGCCCUCAGAUAGCAUCGAAGGCCUACAGAGAAGUUCUUCUCGUCUUGCUGUAACUGCGGUUCUGAUGCACCCACCCAAGCAUUGUGAGAGCUGUGGUUUUUGCCUCAACAGCAUAGCAGAACCAGCGUCUCCAGUGUGAACUGAAGGCCAGCAGCUCUCCAGGGAUCCCCCAUGUCUUCUGCAGCAGCAGGGAUUCUCUGAGACAUCCAGCCUGUGGACUGAGCAAGGAUAAGCUACCUGAUGGAGGAGAGAUGCAUCCAGUCAUCAAGACCCAGAGAUGCUCAAAGCCAUAGAAUGAAAGGGAUGUGGUGAGUACACACAGCAACCCAACAAACCCCCUCAGGAGCCACUCCUUUCUUCCAGCCCUCACUCUUAUGUUCCCCGUUUCUUGUUCUGCCUAACUCUGUGUUUGGCCACUGCACAGUGUAGUAGAAGCUGGCCUAACUCUGCUUAGGCCCGCUUCCGGCUGGGCUACACUACUUUUGUUGUUGUUGUUGUUGUUCAGUACGUGUGUGUGUGUGUGUGUGUGUGUGUGUGUGUGUGUGUGUGCGUGUGCGUGCGCGCGUGCAUGUGUAUUUGUGUACCCAUGUGCGCAUGCGCAUACAUGUAAAUGCCACAGCACACAUGUGGAAUCAGAGGCCAUCCUGUGGGAGUCAGUUCUCUUCUUCCACCAAGUUCAUUGAACUCAGGUUGUCAGGCUCAGCAGCAGGUACCUUUAUCUGCUGAGCUUUCUUAUGUCAACCAUCCCUGGGUAGGGUCGCUCUGCCUCCCUUAGGUGAACCUACAGUUGUGCAAACCUACUGUGUGCUCCCAGGCUUCUUCCCCACUCUGCCUUUGCUUUUUAUUCCUUAUGUCAUGCACCGCCAACUUCCCCUCCACAGGCCACAGAAACUGCAGGUUUCUCUCUGUUGGUUUUCUGUAUUAACGAAAGUGUGAGCCCCUGAGGUGAACAUCUGCUAGGCCUCAGCCACUGGGGGCAGGUCUAGCCACAGCUGAGCGCUCACAAAUCUCUGCUGACGGAAUAUGGCAGUGGCCAGCACAGUCUCCGAGGUGGACGACUUCUGGCAGUUUGUCAGCUGUUACCUAGAAGCCUGCUUGCUGACUGACUCACAGAGGGGAAAAAACGGCAGGAUGAGGAAAAUACUAUCUACUAUCUACUGAGUAUCUAAAAGUUCUCCAUCCUAUAUGCCUCAAGGAAAGAAACAAACAAACCUAGGAAUUUUCCUAAUGAUGAGAGAGAUUUGAGGUCUGUGGGCCUCAACAUUUUCUGUUCUGCUAUCAUAUUUAUUUUUUCAUUAUUGUAAAAUCCCCACGCCACAAAAUUCUACCUUUAAAAAUAAAUCUAAAAGUCAGUGAUUUAAACUCUACACACAAGAGUUGUGCGUAUGUCACCAUGGUUAUGUAGAACAUUUUAUUACGCCAAUGAUAAAGGUACUCUCUACCAUGUUGCUAUGACCUACACUUCCCCUGCUCUCUUGGCUUGGACUGUCACCUCCCUAUCCCAAAGGCCUUACUUUCCCUCUGUGCAAUGACUAGCAAUGGAAUCAUAGGGUACAUGGCCGUAUCUCUACCGCUUUGUCUCAUCCACACCUGACCCAGACCACAAACACAUAAUACAACAGGAGGUGGAUUUGUCUUUGACAGCAGGCUUGAGAACCAAUCACCAGUUGCCAGGGUGCUCAGAGCAGGAUAUAGAAAUAGGGCUGUGGGGAGCCGGCCCCUGACAGAGGAUUCCAUUUUCCUACAUGGAUUCCCCUCGAAGCUCCUUCUCCAUCCUCAUCUCUGUCCUUGCACCCAAUGGCAGAGCAAUGGGAAGAACAAGAAGGAAAGCAGAAUUCAAAACCCAAGAGGUCACUGUGAGUAGCAGCGACAUUGGCCACAUAUCUUGAGGUCUGCAGGAUUUGCAAAGCAACCUCUGAACUCCGUUCUAGACUAGGCCAGUACCAGAGGAUAAACAGUUCGUCUAAGCCUCAGGAGGCUCUGCUGGGAUCAAGAUCGGAGAGGAUUCCUGAGCCCUGCAAAGAGUCUGUGUGAGCCACGACCAGCCAACCACACCCUACCCUCAGCUGAGCUCAGCCCAGCCGCACUGAUUAAUUACUGGCUUGUGCUCUCUCUACACUAAGUCUCCACGUUUGGACUGUUUAACGUACAUUCCACUAAAAAUUAUUACUUAAGAGAAAUUUCCUUCUCAGCAAUUCCCAGAUGACCGUGGCUGGUUCUGCAACUUGACCACAAACCAUUUUACCUUAAGCAUGUUUGUCAGACUUUCUGUAAGUGUUAACAUUU